GCACGUGUUCUCCUCCAGCCCCUGGAGAAAUGGCCGUCAGUCGCCAUCCCAAGGUGACUUCCCAGGUGACUCUUACAGUCACAUCUUUAGAAACUUCAUGGAUUUGUAAGUGGCCAGCUUAGGAUGAGUCAUAGCCCAAAAGACCACACCUGCUAUUUAUUCAGCACUGAGGUGAAGGUGGUGACCGAGACCCUGUCUUGGGGAAGCCCACACUCUCAAGGACAGGUAACUCCCUGGGGGUCCCCAGGCUUUCCGGGCUGAGGCUUUGCGGUCCUGUGUGAUCUUGAGUAUUUCACUGCACCACCCUGACCCUAGUGUCUUCUUCAGUGAAGUGGGGAUAACACCACCUUGCAGGAUCCUUAUGAAGGGCCCACUUUCAACAUCACCACCUCAGAGAAGACUUCCCUGACUGCUCAAUCUGUAUUUCAUGCCCUGUGAGGAUGGCGUCUCUACCCCCAGAACCUGCCCCAGAUCGCUGAGCUGGCCUACCUGAGGACAGAAUGCAGACGCAUGGCCCGUCCGGGACCCACAGCCUCUCCCGAGGUCAGAGGCCAUGACUCCUUCUCAUCACGGACCAGCUGCCUGCAGCAAAGGCCCCGACAGCCCUGCUCCCCCACCAGGACACCCCAUCCCAGUACCAUUAUCACCGUGCACGCACGCACACCCCCCCCCCCACACACAACACACACGGAAGCCCCUAUGACAAGGAUGCUCUCCUGUGAGGACUGAAAUGUAACGGUUAGAUGCACGAGCCCAAGGUUCGAGUCCCAGCCGUGGCACUUGCUGGCCGGGUGGUCCUGGGCAAAGCACUGCCCCGCAGACUGUCUGGGUCUCCUCAUCUAUAAGAUGGUGCUAUUAUUUGCACGUUGCUCAAAGAUCGUUGUGAAAGGUUGUGCACAUGCACGGCACACACUCAGUGCUCACUACCCAUCAGCGGCUCGUGGGGCGAUUGGUCUGCGCAGCCUCCAACCCCCCCUCCAAUCUGCAGACGUCUUUCCAAAUUUGCAAUUACUGGUAUCUCCUCAGAAGUCUGUGCAGUGUGUUGUUCAUGCUUUUGGGGACGACUGAGUCUGGAACCUUCCAGGACAGAAAAUGCAGGGGGCCACUAGGGCAAAGGUCAUCCUAUCACCCAGCGGUGGGGACAAAGCGCUUCUUCCUGGUCCUCCCCACCACCCCUCUCAGCGCGCGCUGCUUGGUGAUUUCACCGUUUGCCGACCCAAGAACAGUCAUUGCAUUGUUUCAUCCUCAGCCCAAUUCCACUCGCUUGACAUUUUUACCGCUAAAUUGAAUCCGCUGCCAGUAAUCUAAUUUACAUUUGAAGGCAUACACAAUGCCAA